UGUCUAGUCUGUAACUGACGCUGAGGCUCGAAAGCAUGGGUAGCGAACAGGAUUAGAUACCUGGUAGUCCAUGCCGUAAACGAUGAGUGCUAAGUGUUGGAGGGUUUCCCCCUUCAGUGCUGCAGCUAACGCAUUAAGCACUCCACUGGGGAGUACGACCGCAAGGUUGAAACUCAAAGGAAUUGACGGGGGCCCGCACAAGCGGUGGAGCAUGUGGUUUAAUUCGAAGCUACGCGAAGAACCUUACCAGGUCUUGACAUCUUCUGCCAAUCUUAGAGAUAAGACGUUCCCUUCGGGGACAGAAUGACAGGUGGUGCAUGGUUGUCGUCAGCUCGUGUCGUGAGAUGUUGGGUUAAGUCCCGCAACGAGCGCAACCCUUAUUAUCAGUUGCCAGCAUUCAGUUGGGCACUCUGGUGAGACUGCCGGUGACAAACCGGAGAAAGGUGGGGAUGACGUCAAAUCAUCAUGCCCCUUAUGACCUGGGCUACACACGUGCUACAAUGGACGGUACAACGAGUCGCGAAGUCGUGAGGCUAAGCUAAUCUCUUAAAGCCGUUCUCAGUUCGGAUUGUAGGCUGCAACUCGCCUACAUGAAGUUGGAAUCGCUAGUAAUCGCGGAUCAGCAUGCCGCGGUGAAUACGUUCCCGGGCCUUGUACACACCGCCCGUCACACCAUGAGAGUUUGUAACACCCAAAGCCGGUGAGAUAACCUUCGGGAGUCAGCCGUCUAAGGUGGGACAGAUGAUUAGGGUGAAGUCGUAACAAGGUAACCA
rnacentral:rRNA from 1 species